ensembl:lncRNA
CUCCUUUUUGAUCCCUUUUUGUACUUCUGCAGAAGCUCUCCCCACCAGGCUUCUGCUUGAUGUUUAGUUACCAUAGGCUCCCUGUUUAUUCGGAGUAGAGAAGUAGCUGCCACCCAAGGGCAAUUCAGUUCAUCUGGCUCUGGAAUUAUCUCAGGGAAUACCUCACUUUCCCCUUCGGUUGAUGAAGACUAUGAUGACUGAAUUCCCAGUCAAGGCACACCAUUUGGAAGGAGCUGAGAGAAGGAGGACAGCUCUCCAUACCUGCUGGCUGUUGCCAGCUCCCUGCCUUGGACAGUGGACUGGGAAACACAAGAGUAAUUAUGGAAAACCUCCAGAGAGGUUCAUCGUUGCAGAAAUCAUCGUGUAGACUUCAGAUACAGCCCGCAGUGUCCGUCACUUGGUGCUUGUCUUGAGGAAAUGCUGCAGAGGAGCCUGUUUGGAUAUCAG